UCUUCAGAGAGGGAGCCACAGCUAAAUAACAGGAUCAUGCUGCAUGAAGCCUAUUAUCUCAUCUGGAUGUUUGCACUGUCCCGAGGAAUUCUGGCCUUCUACGUGGAGCAGUCUCCAUCCAUUGUGUCGAUUUCAGGAGGACUUUCGUCUACACUCAGAUGCACGCUGAAGGAUACAGCUUACAUCUACAUGUACUGGUACAGACAGAAACCGGACCAGGCAAUAGAAGCUUUAUUCUACUCUGCUGGAAAAGAUUUCGUUACAAAUUACACGUCCGAGUCUUUCCAGGCUAAAAGACCCAGUAAAACGCAGUUUAGUUUGGAACUGAGAGACGCCUCUCCAUCCCACACGGGUGUCUAUUUUUGUGCGUGCAGCAGCACAGCGUUUGAGGAAGUGCCUUUGCAGCUACAAAAACCUGCAUUGGAGUCCAGGCACGUUCAGGACUCAUUUCCCACCAGCAG